rnacentral:rRNA from 1 species
GAUGAACGCUGGCGGCGUGCCUAAUACAUGCAAGUCGAGCGAACAGACGAGGAGCUUGCUCCUCUGACGUUAGCGGCGGACGGGUGAGUAACACGUUGAUAACCUACCUAUAAGACUGGGAUAACUUCGGGAAACCGGAGCUAAUACCGGAUAAUAUAUUGAACCGCAUGGUUCAAUAGUGAAAGACGGUUUUGCUGUCACUUAUAGAUGGAUCCGCGCCGCAUUAGCUAGUUGGUAAGGUAACGGCUUACCAAGGCAACGAUGCGUAGCCGACCUGAGAGGGUGAUCGGCCACACUGGAACUGAGACACGGUCAAGACUCCUACGGGAGGCAGCAGUAGGGAAUCUUACGCAAUGGGCGAAAGCUUGACGGAGCAACGCCGCGUGAGUGAUGAAGGUCUUCGGAUCGUAAAACUCUGUUAUUAGGGAAGAACAAAUGUGUAAGUAACUAUGCACGUCUUGACGGUACCUAAUCAGAAAGCCACGGCUAACUACGUG